GGGGGUGUAGCUCAAUUGGGAGAGCGCCUGCUUUGCAAGCAGGAGGUCGUCGGUUCGAUCCCGUUCACCUCCA
rnacentral:tRNA from 1 species